GCCAGCCAGCCGCGCCGCUCCGAUCGAAGCCGAAGGGAGCCGCUUCGAUCCGCGCACAGCCGUCUCCCGCAGCCGCCACUCGAAGCCGAUCCGCCGCGCGUGCCUCCAGCCGUCGAAGCCGAACCCACGUUUCGGCCGACGCCCGAACCCGAAACCGAUCCGCGCCCGCUCGCCCGAAACCGACCCGCGCCCGCUCGCCCGAAACCGAACCCGCUCCACGCUUGCGCACGCCCGCUCCGAGUCGCAAGCCGAGCCCGCGCGCGCCCAUCCCACGCCACGAGUCGCGCCGGUCUGCACCACAAGCCGCGCCGCGCCGCCUGCACUGCAAGCCGAGCCGCGCCUCCUUGCUGACGCGAGCCGAGCCGCACGCGCAAGAUCCUUGCGCCAAGCCGAGCCGAGCCGAUCUCUGUCUCCUUCCAGCCGAGCCGCCAAGCCUAAUUUGGCUCCUUCCACCUAAUUUUUGGGACGUCUUGGACCAAGUAACUGCUGCAGCGGGGGAUUUCUUCAGUAGGGGCUUGAGCACUGCAAUCUCCUUCUAGGUUAGGACCUCGUCGCUUGGAAAGCGUACUGCCUCGCGGUUAGGACUCGUCAAGUAAAUCUCCAGGUAAGAGAUUCUACUACUAGCUCCACGCUUAGAAAUAUGAGAUGAUGUAUACUCCAAUUUUGCAUGUUGGGGAUUGGACGGUACGAUGCCUGAAAUCAAUGUUAGUAUGAUGUAAAUGACGGUAUGGCUAUACUAUAGCCUGUUAUGUGUGGCGAGAGCCGUUAUAGUUAUACGACGAAUGUCGAGACGGAGAGGGCAGAGAUGAUUUAUAUGAUAUGUUAUAUGCUGAUGCCAUGUGUAUGUAUACUGCACUUAGGGUACCUGUUAGCUCGAUCUGUUAGAGUCGUACCUGCAUGGGUGUCCUUCGGGAUCGCCACCUAUUGAGGACUGUGUGGUCCGACGGGACGCCAGUCUAGCAUGGAUAUAGAUAUGACUCGAGUGACUCGACGGGGUCCUCGCAUCCCGACUGUCCUAGGUGUCCCUCGGGGCACCGAAGACCAGAGUUACGUUCCUACGGGAGCGCAUGAUUGCACGUGUUCGAGAACGUGCCAGAGAUUGGGUACCAGUUAUCAGGACUCUAACAGGAGGUUAACAGGCACCUAGUGGGACUAGUAGUGGGUCCCUU